rnacentral:rRNA from 1 species
CCUACGGGAGGCUGCAGUGGGGGAUAUUGCACAAUGGGGGGAACCCUGAUGCAGCGACGCCGCGUGGGUGAAGGAGGGUUUCGGCGCGUAAACUCCUAUCGUCAGGGAAGAAGAUGACGGUAUCUGACCAAGAAGCCCCGGCUAACUACGUGCCAGCAGCCGCGGUAAUACGUAGGGUGCAAGCGUUACCCGGAUUUACUGGGCGUAAAGAGGGCGCAGGCGGGAUAGCAAGUCAGAUGUGAAAGCCCGGGGCUUAACCCUGGGACUGCACUUGAAACUGUAUGGCUGGAGUAUAGGAGAGGCAGGCGGAAUUCCUAGUGUAGGGGUAAAAUCCGUAGAGAUUAAGAGGAACACCGGUGGCGAAGGCGACCUGCUAGACUAUAACUGACGUUGAUGCCCGAAGGCGUGGGGAGCAAACAGGAUUAGAUACCCCUGUAGUC